rnacentral:rRNA from 1 species
AACGAACGCUGGCGGCGUGCCUAACACAUGCAAGUCGUGCGAGAAAGUUUCCUUCGGGGAGCGAGUAAAGCGGCGCACGGGUGAGUAACACGUAGGUAACCUACCUUUCAGUCCGGAAUAACCAGCUGAAAAGCUGGCUAAUGCCGGGUAAGACCACGACCUCUACGGGGGUCGCGGCCAAAGGCGGCCUCUUCAUGAAAGCUGAUGCUGAGAGAUGGGCCUGCGCACCAUUAGCUAGUUGGUGAGGUAAUAGCUCACCAAGGCUUCGAUCAGUAGCCGUCCUGAGAGGGAGCACGGCCACACUGGAACUGAGAC